AGUGUUUCCACGAACUCACUUCGAAGCAUAUAUACAAGCGUGUAUAUUUAGACCGAAUGAGUUUAAUGUACGGGCGUGUGUACAUAACGGUGUACGCGCAGUUGAUGUUUCAUUAAUUUUCCUUGAUUUUUCAUUUCCUCAGUUCCCUCUUGUGUUCCUCAUUUUGAAAAGAUAUUUUCGAAGCAACGCAUUGCCGAGGCGAUACAGAACUGUUUCAAAAAUUGCGAUCAGUUCGUUUAGUGCUUUAAAUUGAAACAGUUCGCGAGCGAGCGGACGUUUGCGAAUAAAGUUUUGCUACAAAGAUAUAAUAUACAGUAUUUUUUGUUAAAUCCACAACCAUAAAAAAUAAAUCGCAAAUUUUUUUUCUCCUGAGGAAUUAAUGCAUUUACCAAAUGCAGAGAUAGAAAGUCAUAACACAAAAACCGUUCGAUUUGAAAAUUAUUGUGAUAUAAAAACGAAUAAAAGUGAACGAAAUUAGUACGAAAUAAAUAUGAAAAGCUAUUACCGUUAUAGCUGAAAAUACUCUCGUUUUAUUAAUUCUCUUAAGAGUCCGCUAAAACCGCAUUCCGAUUUUGGUGAUUUAGUGUUAGAGGCAAAAGUGCAAUACAUACAUACAUACAUGCAUACAUAUAUAAAAUUAGCGUUGUCGUAAUUUUAGAUUUCGGUUGCGUUGGCAGAAAUCAGAAAGUAUCGCAUAGCGCUCGACCAGUGAGCGUGCACAGUGUGCAGCAGAUUUUUGAUGCGGGCACUAAAACUGUGAAAAAUGGAGCAAUUCGAGCAACUUUUGACUUGUUGUGUGUGUCUAGAUCGGUAUCGUAUACCAAAACUGUUGCCAUGCCAGCAUUCGUUCUGCAUGGAACCGUGCAUGGAAGGUCUCGUGGACUAUGUACGAAGACAGGUGAAAUGUCCCGAGUGCCGUGCAGAACAUCGCAUACCAUACAAUGGAGUACAAGCCUUCCCCACAAAUGUAACAUUGCAGCGUUUUCUGGAGUUACAUAUCGAGAUAACCGGCGAAUUGCCAGAUCCGACGUCAGGGCAAAUCAUGGAGCGGUGCAGUGUGUGUUCAGAGAAAUCGUACCUGUCGUAUUGUGCGCAUUGUGAGAAGAAGAUCUGUGAGGACUGCAAAAGCGCACACAUGGAUAUAUUGCGGCGUGAGAUAACUCGAUUCAAUUCACAAAUCCGUCGCAGUUUACAUCGACUGCAAGACACUCUCGCCAUAAUUGAGAAAAACUCGGUCAGUUUGCAAACGAAUUGCGUUGGAGUAACCGAAGAGAUCGAUGAGAUCUGUAGACGCAUCACUAAGGCGAUUAAAGAUCGUACUGAUCAACUGCGAGGCGAAGUCGAUCGCUAUCUCACAAUUGAGAUGCGAAAUCUGACAACUCUUAGGGAAAAUCUUGAUCAUGAGAUUCAGAACAUAUCAAGCAAUUGCGACAUUGUUGAUAAAUACAUGAAUGAGACGGUCGAAUGGGAUGAUUGUGAAUUGAUGGACACGAAAGAGAUCUUCCUCAAGACGGUUGAGUUCCUGCGUCACUUCGAGUAUGAGAACACUGAUUAUACACGUCGUGUGCGCUUCCUUGUAUCAAUUGAUCCGAACCAAUUUGUGCUGAAUCUGGCCACGUUCGGUGAUUUAAAUAUUGCACCACAUUCACAGCCCAGUGGUUCUGUCAGCAGUUCGCAUUUGGCGCCUCCUUCGGGUUUGCAACCCGGUUUGAUGCGCUCGAAAAGUGAUCAUCGACUGGCUACUCAGUUCCGUCAGCAAGAGGAACGCGUCGGUUAUAACGACGAACCGGUUUUAGGUGGUCGCAAAUUCGGUGAGCGACCAGUACGUGUCAAUAACGAUCGGUAUGGUGACGGCAAUAGUCGCUAUGGUCGAGCCACCGACUUCGAUUACGAGAAUGAAUACGACAACGAUCAGACAUCGUCCCGUGCAGGAAAGUCAUCACGUUUCCGUUCCCGCUUCGUUCGUUCUCACCAAAACGAUGACUCCGAUAGUGAACAACAACAAGCGCAACGUCAACAAGAGUUGGAAAAGAAGAAGGAUCGAGUACAAAGCGGUGAGGAUGUGUCACGUGGACAGCUUAGUGGUAUUAUACGUUUAAGUGACUGUGCACGUGUUAUUCAACGCUUGGCAGAUAUCGGUAAGGAAAAGAAGGAGAAGAAAUCGGAUACCGCAGCACAGGCGGCUGUGCAGGCGGCCAUUCAAGCACAAAAGGCGUCAAUGCAACGUCCAAAACAGGGAACCCAGAGACAAGUAUCCGAAGAUGACGAGAUAAGUCGCAUUAAACGUCAGAACAAAAAUGCACCGGGAGGAACCGCGACUCAAGCGACUGCUGCUAACACGGCUGCACAGGUGACAGAGUCUGAGCGCCCAGCUGCCGAUCGUGUAGCUGCACUAAAGCGAACUGGCGUUCCGCAAGGAACUAGCGAGGAGAGCGAUAGCUCCAAUCAUGCUUCACCAGUGCGUAGGACGCCUCCACCAAGGGCUGAGUCCAAAGCUCCCGUAUCAGCACAAGUAGCGGCCGUCAAGAAGACAACGCGUUCGGGUAGCAGCGAUUCGACAGCAUCUACGGAGAGUUCUACCAGCUCUGCUGCUGCUGCUGCCGUACCAAGCAGCUCUCGUGCCCGCGAAAGUCCGGCACGUUCGCGUGCUACACCAGCCAGCAGCGCGGUCACGGCAAGCAGUAACAGUACGCCAACUACGGAGAAGAAACCGUUCGUAAGCCGCUUCCUGCCACAGCAUAGCAGCGCGGCAGCUAGCAAUGAGAAAAAGAAGGCGGAAAGUGAAUCGAGUAGCGAGGAAGAAACCUCCAGCGAAGAAUCAGAAGAUGAAGUCGACGCGAAAUCAAAAUCUACUGCUGCCACUAGUUCUAGCUUGGCGGCAAAGAGUCAUGUCGGUAGCAGUGCACUGUCUUCGUCAGGUGCAGGUAGCUCAAGUGGUGCUUCUUCAUAUCGGGAGCGUCUGGAAGCGCGUCGCAACUCACGUGACGAUGCGUCUACACGUCCUUCGUCUAGUUAUGCAACUCCAUCCAGUAGCGGCACAAGCGGCUAUGGCUCUUCGUCACGCCAACGAACCGUGCCGGCUUCCCAUCAUGCUCACGACUCGGACGAUCGUUAUGGAAGUGGCAGCGCCGCCUCUGGCAGCAGUAGUACGAGUGUGCCCACAUUUAGUUUGCAAUAUAUCAGUAGACCCCGGACACGUUACCGAAAGCGGAUUGCGGAUGCUAUACGAGAUAUCAGUUGAAAAUCCAACGCACGCACACACACGCCCUCACACACAAACUCCUUCGAGCUAUUUCGAACUUGUUUUCCACUCUUCAAUCUAAAUCGUUUUUAAAAUCACAUUCUUACUUAAGCACAUAAUCCACUGUUAAUUUGUUACAUGCUAAUAAUACGAAAUUCAUAUGUUUUUGUAGCUGAAGUAUUUUUGUAUUAACCUGUGAUCACAUUUUCUAUCUAACCAAGUAAUUUCACAUGUGAUUUCUGUAAUUUAAAUAACUGUUAAGUGCAAAGAGACCUUCUGUACAAAGUAAUUGAUACUUUUGGCGUGCUACUCAGAGAUUAGUCAGCUCUUACAGUUAUUCGUAUUUUGUAGUUUUGUUUUAGUUAAAAAAUUUUAAUAAAUGAAAUUAAAUAUCAUCUCACAUGAAAGUUGACAAAUGUUAUAUUUUACUUAGCUUUAAACAGUUGUGGGAAAUUAAAAUUAGGUGAAUUGAAAGCCAGAUCCUAGAAUCACCACCAUGGAUGUUUUCCACAUCUGUUUUUGCAAAGAUUUGUAAAAACUUCAGAUGUUGUAUAUUAGAUAAGGGCAUAUAUAAUCUACUAUGAAAAGGUUGUAUAGACCAAAACUUGUUACACAAUUACUCUAGGUAUUGGGGUUAGCGCUUGUUUAUUCUAGCUAAUUACGAAAAGUUUUUAAUGGACAGUACCGCUUGCUGGAAAUUACUGAACUAAAUUUAAUAAAAUCAGCACCAGAGUAAAAUAAUAAUGUAAUAAUAUUGUAAAAUUUCCACCUACUUACACUGUUGACUACCCACUUAUAUUUGGCAUUGUUCCUAAGACAUUAACCGCGUUCUAUUUUAAUUAAUUUUGGUGUUUAGUUUGCUCGUCCAAUAAACGUAAAUGAAUUCGUCUCAACAAUGUGUUUUGUUGCGCGUUUUCGUAAAUCACGAAAUACAUUUGCUAAGGUUUUGUAACAGAUUUGGCGCUCUGCUCUCACGCGCCCAUUUGAAAUGUGCUUCACUAACACCUUAAGGCCUAUUUAUGUGAUUGUAUGGAGGUAUUUGUGGUGCACUGAGCUAGUCAGCGCUAGGCCUGGUCACGUUUCAGUGCAAAUGUUGUCCGUUUAUUUCUUGCACGUUGGUGGUAAUUGUCGCGACAUUAAAUAAAUGUCGGCAAAGUCUAAGUAAACCAAUUAAAGUGCGAGAAAUUGGAGAGGAAAAAAUUCAAUUUAACUGCGGGUUUAUUCAAUUAGUUGUUUGUUCUUUUGCGCACAUAAGUUGUAUUGUUUGGCUAACUUCUCUAAGUAAACUUCUUACAUGGCCUUUAGCUUAAGUCGUCACAAAAGGACGGCGAAGAAAAACACUUGGCACACCGAGCACAAACAAAGAUUAACAUUUUCUCCAACUUUUGACACAAACAAAACGUGCUAAAGUGUGAAAUUCCGUUAUGGCAUACAAAAUAGUACCGUUUGUUUGUCGAAGACUUAUUUCAUACACCUAAUUUUAGGCACACAACCACAAGCCUUAUACAUUAACACACACAUAAGCGUUUGAAUAGUUAGGGAUAAUGAGAUUUUCCUGCUAGCGCUGGCCUAACCUCUGAAUCUAAUAAACCAGAUUUAUUCGGAAAACGUUUUGAAUGUUCGUAAACAUUCCUAAAAGCGGCGAAAUGUUACUACAAUAUGCAACCCUAAAAAUUCUGCAUGGUAAAACAUAAGUAGACAUGCCAAGUUUUAUUCAAAUGUUAUGCCGUGCUUCUUAUUUCUAUUAACUUAUGCUAAUCUCAUUUACUAACAACGAUUACACAUUUAAUGAAAAAUUACUCAAAAAUUGUAUCGGUACAAACUACUUUUCGGAUCUUAUUGUAUGGUCGAUACUAUAUAUAAGUACCACAGUAUAAGUAUCAUUCAUAAGGAUCUGCAAAUAUAUAUUUAUAGUGGUUAGACAUUUUGAUCUCUAUUUAGACUAAACUAACUGUUAAUGUAAAUUAGAUUAUGAAAGCUACUCUCGUGUGCUUUGUCACUCGCAAAUGAGAACCACUUUUCUUCUAAUGCUUUAAUGAAUUAGUUCUACACUUGGAUGAUGAGGUUUCUCAUCUCAACAUCUUAUCUCUAUUAAAAAACAAAAAAUUAAUUAUUAAGAUUUCAGAGGUCUUUUGUCUCUUUAUCAUUUCUCAAAUUAUGUAAAAAGAAAGCGUACCACGAAAGUAAAUUAAUAGAGGAUACUGACUCAUUUGCCAACGAAUCAUAACCUAACGAAACAAUUAACUUUAAACUUUUCGCAAAACUACCGCUUUAUGUAACAACAAAUACCAUUUAAUCAUUACCAUCAGCAAUUGUAUGCUUUUUGAUGAACAAAAAUGAAAGCAAUGAAAUUUUUACAAAAAAAUUUGUUCGUAUUUUGGAAAAGAAUCUGAAAAAAAAACGUUCGUUUGUUCAAAAUUAAAUGAAAUUUAAAUGCAAAAAUGUUCGUGCUGAAACGAAUCAAUUAAACCGAAAUUUUCCAGCUACACAAGCCGCUUUCUAAACAAAAGCAAAAGCAGCGCUAUUGUAUCACAACCAUCGCUCUCCACGCCCACCGCUUCCUUCGAUGAGGAUGCCAACGGCACUGGUGAUGAUUCGGACUCACGCUAUGGCACCGGACGUUCGCGCUAUCUGGCGAUGAAAGAGCGACGCAGCCGCUUGGCGCGCAGUCGCUCCUCGCACGCGCUCGGCAACGAAGACGACGAUCUGGAUGAGCCGGUAUCGCCAACAACGGCAUCGCCAUCUGCUUACUUGGCUUCAAGGUACUCGGGAUAUGGCGGAACUGAUUUGGCACGCAGCCGAUCCUCGCACGCGUUGAAAUCGCGCGAUAACUCACCAAUCACCGAUCGUAGCACCGCGUCGGGGCGCAGCGCUAUCGUAACUGCCGCCGGCUCUAGCACGUCCGCCGCAGCGGACAGCAAAGACGGCGAGGCGUUGAGCUCCUGGGCGCGCUACUUAAAGAACAAGUAUGGCAAUAAGAGCGCUAAGGACACACCGUCUAGUAGCAGUAGUGGCGCCUCAGCAGCGCCAUCGUCUUCGCAUAGCCAUGGCGCUGGCGUUGGCGGCAGCAACAGCAGCAGCGGUAGUAGUGCCAGCCGUAGUCACGCCAGCGACGUGUCGCGUCGUUUAAGUUUGGGGCUGCCGUUGCGGCAGGCCAACGAGCUGGGCUCAUCUGAUGAUGACGGGUCAAAAAACGGGCUAGGCUCCCCUACCUCCCCUACGGUAGCAGCAGCAGCAGCCGGUAUAACCGGAGUAGCAGGUACUUCCCUUAGGGAUUUGUACUUGCGUAAACGGCAGCAGCUGUUCCAAUUGGGGGGACGGGGGAGCGAGCCCGGAUCCUUUACAUGGCCGCGCGGCGUAGCAGUUGGCCCAGACAAUAGUUUUGUCGUCGCCGACUCGUCUAACCAUCGCAUACAAGUGUUCGACUCGAACGGUAUUUUCGUGAAAUCAUUCGGAGAUUUCGGUUGCCGCGAAGGAGAGUUCGAUUGCUUGGCCGGUGUGGCGAUCAAUCGCAUUGGACAAUACAUAAUAGCAGACAGAUAUAACCACCGCAUACAAGUACUCGACCCGCAAGGACGCUUCUUGCGGGCCUUUGGCUCACAGGGCAUCACCGAUGGCAAAUUCAAUUAUCCUUGGGGCAUAGCCACCGAUUCGUUGGGCUUUAUUUAUGUGUGCGACAAAGAGAACCACCGUGUGCAAGUAUUUCAAUCGGAUGGCACCUUUGUUGGCAAAUUUGGCCAACUAGGUCCUCUGGAAGGAGAACUUGAACACCCACAUUAUAUUGCGGUUUCAAAUACGAAUCGAGUUAUUGUAUCCGAUUCCAAUAACCACCGAAUUCAGAUCUUUGAUGUCAACGGAAAAGUCUUGAAGACAAUCGGUUCUGAGGGCUCCGACGACGGGCAGCUGAAAUUCCCACGGGGCAUCGCUGUGGAUGAUCAGGGUUAUAUUGUAAUCGCCGAUGCAGGCAAUAAUCGCAUACAAAUUUACAGCCCCGACGGCACUUUCUUGAAGGCUUUCGGCUCCUGGGGUUCUGGUCGUUCGGAAUUCAAAGGACUCGAGGGCGUUGGCAUUAUGUCGAAUGGAAACAUUUUGGUAUGCGAUCGCGAGAACCACCGCGUACAAGUCUUUUAAACCGCGACCAGCAAUAAUCACUUGAAAAAAUUAUAAAAAUCAAAAAUCACAAUAUGUGUUUGUAAACGAGAAUGUAAGCAAUUGGCAGUACUUCUAAGAACGGAACGAUAACCGCAGCAUAUUUACAUACACCGCAUAUAUAUACACAUAUAAAUAUUAAUGUUUUAUUUUAGUAUGGAUUUGUUUUCGUUAUUCUUUUGUAAGUGCCUGAGUUAAAAUUUUCGCAACAGAAUAAAGUAGUUUUUGCUUUAUAAAAGUAAAUUUUGCUAAAAGCUAACAACCGCAAACAACCCAUAUAUACCUAUAUAUUAACGAUUUGGCUUAGCAGUUUGUAGUUUCUAGAAAAUUGUAAUAAAUUUGGGAAUUUGUUUUGAUUAUGGCAAA